rnacentral:lncRNA from 1 species
AUGAUUUAUCCUGAAGAAUCCAUUGCAUGAGGGCGAAGUCAAGUAUGAGGAGGAAAAUGAGGAGAAUGGCGAGAGCAGGAGGAAGAGGGCGUCAAAGUCGAUUAAAGCAAGGUCUCUGAAACAUUCUGAGUAGAAACUGAAAUGUGUACUUUGUUUUUUAAUUUUGCGGCAGUUCUUUUUUUGGCUUAAGAUUUUUCACUUUAC